rnacentral:rRNA from 1 species
GCACAACUACUUAGCCCAAAACACCUUGCUACGCCACACCCACACGGGCACCCAGCAGUGAUAAAUAUUAAGCAAUGAGUGAAAGCCACCUAAGCUCGACUUAGUUAUGAUCAUUAGGGCCGGUAAAUCUCGUGCCAGCCACCGCGGUUAUACGAGGGGCCCAAAACAACAGACACCGGCGUAAAUUGUGGCUAGAGCAUCUUCUUACAACGCUGAAAAAUAAACUAAAGUCUAAUCGUAAAACCUAGGCCAAAAGAAACACAUAUUUUCAGCUAUAAAGCAACUUGAACCCACGAAAACUAAGAAACAAACUAGGAUUAGAUACCCUACUAUGCUUAGUUGUUAAUAUGACACCAAAAAACACCAGUGUCCGCCAGAGAAUUACACGCGAAAAGCUUAAAACUCAAAGGACUUGGCGGUGCUCCGUAUUCGUHUUAGAGGAGCCUGUCCUAUAAUCGAUAACCCACGCUUUACCUUACCAUCUUUUGUUAAAACAGCCUAUAUACCGCCGUCGCAAACUUACCCCAUGAGGGCAUAACAGUAAGUAAAAUAGUAACACACUAACACGUCAGGUCAAGGUGUAGCUAAUAAGAUGGAAGAGAUGGGCUACAUUUUCUAAAACAGAACACAC